CUCCUUUGACGUUAGCGGCGGACGGGUGGGUAACACGUGGGUAACCUACCUAUAAGACUGGGAUAACUUCGGGAAACCGGAGCUAAUACCGGAUAAUAUUUCGAACCGCAUGGUUCGAUAGUGAAAGGUGGUUUUGCUAUCACUUAUAGAUGGACCCGCGCCGUAUUAGCUAGUUGGUAAGGUAACGGCUUACCAAGGCGACGAUACGUAGCCGACCUGAGAGGGUGAUCGGCCACACUGGAACUGAGACACGGUCCAGACUCCUACGGGAGGCAGCAGCC
rnacentral:rRNA from 1 species